CAAGCUGACCAGGCGAUCGCGGCGUGAAGACGUCGAGGAAAGUCCGGGCUCCAAAGGACAGGGUGGUGGCUAACGGCCACCCGGGGCAACCCGCGGGAAAGUGCCACAGAAAAUAUACCGCCGAUCGUAUCGGUAAGGGUGAAAAGGUAGUGUAAGAGACUACCGCGGCUUAGGUGACUAAGUUGGCAGGGUAAACCCCACCCGGAGCAAGGCCAAGCAGUAAACGUUGAGGUUGUCCGCUGAGUUUACGGGUAGGCUGCUAGAAAGAUGCGGUAACGUAUCUUCCAGAUAGAUGAUCGUCCAACGACAGAACCCGGCUUACCGGUCAGCUUGUCAC
rnacentral:RNase_P_RNA from 1 species